rnacentral:lncRNA from 1 species
CCCAGCUGCCUCCGCCCCUGUUCGCGUGUUCCGCGAGCUGUCGGAGCUCGUCUCCGCCGCCGAAGGGUCGCCGGAGCUGCCGCCAAUCACCACCUGAGCUGCCGCCGUCCAUCUCCGCCGGUUUUUGCGCCUCACCAGCCACCAGAUCCGCUCCUUCUCAGCCCCAAACAGAAGCUGGAAAAAUGGGUAUGGCAGCGGACAUUUGACCCGUUUUGGCCGCCUUCCCGAGCCCGGAUGCUCGGCCCGCCUUGAGGAAAGUCAAUCCUUGCGUCGUCCUCGUCGUUUUGGUCUGCUCGGCUCGCUAAUCCGGUGAGUUUAACUCACUAAAUCUUGAUUAAAGGGUUAAUGAUGCCCUAAGUGUGCUUAGUCUAAGUUAAGUGAGUUUAGGUGGUUAGAUUAGUUUAUUUGGUUGAUGAUUAGAUUAGGGUGUUUAAUUAAGUUAAAGUGUGUUUAGUUUAAGGUUAAGUAUGUUUAUUUUUAAUAUAAAGCCUUGAUGUGACAUAAUAGGGUUUUAUUUUUGAAUUAUUUAAUGAUUUCGAAUUCUGGAAUUUAUAAUAUUAUAUUAUAUUCCGAAAUUAUUAAAAUAUUAUUACUUAUAAAAAAAAAACUGAAAAAUUAUUUUUGACCCCGGUUGCUCAGAAUUUCGUGCCGAUCGCUGCUGUGUAGUCAGAUUUUGAAAUUGAUGAUUGAAUAUUAUAAAUUGAGCGUGGAUCGUGAAAAAUAUGGAUAUUAUUAUUAUAUUAAUUUUUGGAAUAAAAUUAAUUAUUUAAUAAAUUCCAAAAAAUUAUUUUGGGACCCUAAAUUCUCAGAAUUUCGUGCUGAUCGCUGCUGUGCAUUUAGAAUUUGAAUUUGAUGAAUGUAUGUGGCAAAUUGAGUGUUGAUUGUGGUAAAUAAGGAUUUUAUUCAUAAAAACCCAAGUGUCGGGUUUUGAUGCAAAAAUUGGAUUUUAAUGAUUAUAUUAAAUAGUGGGGUUUGAAAAAGUGACAUAUUGGCUUUUUGAUUUGAAAUUAGCAUGUCCCCACACACGUGAGUAAUUUCUGGAAUAUUCUUAAUAUGAAGAAAAAUGGCCGGGAUCACUAUUUUAAGUGGAAGCAUUGAGUGAAAUAUAAAGUGUCUUGGAGCCGAGUAUGCUUUGGCUGUGUGAUAACUAAGAGGAAUCGUCCUGGGCUGUUGAGCCAGACUUGCCCCUAUAUGGGAUGCCCACGCGGUGGAUGCGGGUCGCAAUUGAUUCUGGGCCCAUGCUCCUUCGGGAACGCCGUCGAUGUACUGGCGAAGCCGCGCUCCAUGGGGGGAGGCGAUGCCUGGCUAUAUGCCAGUAGAUAGCUGAACUGCGAGUAGGCUAUGCCCUUGUGUGGUAGUGAAUAACAAUUGGAAUGCAUGUUGAGUGUUGUUGAUGUGUCGGAUUAUGGGACGGAAUUGUGUGGCAUGGAAUGGGACGUGUCAUAACGAUUUAGUCUUAUAAUCAGGACCCCCGCGGUUGUUGGUUAUAUGAAAGAGAAUGCGUUCCGGUUGUUUAAGUUCCUAUUACUAUCUGCGAUUGAGUGAUUUGAAUUGUGCUAACCUGCAGGAAGGAACUGAGGCGAGGUAAGUAUUCUGUGUGAUGUGGCUAGGCCACUCGGGGUGUAUUUUCUUUCUAAUAGGGGUUUAGGGGGUUGAACUUGCUGAGACAUCGUCUCAUUCCGGUUGUGGGAUUAAAAUUUCAGGUCCCUAGAUGGCGGUCGUGGAGGACCCGAAGCCCUAAGUCUAGAAAGGUGGAGACUGAAGUAUCGGUGAACGUGUCCUGCUAAUUGGUUUUAGGAUGGUUCCCCUUUUGUCGAGCUAGUUAAUUUUGUAGACUGUCCAGAGUUAUAUUUAAACCUAUGUGCUUGUAAAUGAGUGUUUGGUAUUGUGAUUGAUUGCCUG